rnacentral:rRNA from 1 species
UACAGAGGGUGCGAGCGUUAAUCGGAAUUACUGGGCGUAAAGCGUGCGUAGACGGUCAAGUAAGUCGGGUGUGAAAGCCCCGGGCUCAACCUGGGAAUUGCAUUCGAGACUGCGUGGCUAGGGUGCGGAAGAGGGAAGCGGAAUUUCCGGUGUAGCGGUGAAAUGCGUAGAUAUCGGGAGGAACACCAGUGGCGAAGGCGACUUCCUGGCCUGUUCUUGACGCUGAGGCGCGAAAGCUAGGGUAGCAAACGGG